rnacentral:rRNA from 1 species
CCUACGGGAGGCUGCAGUGAGGAAUAUUGGUCAAUGGCCGGAAGCCUGAACCAGCCAAGCCGCGUGAGGGACGAAGGUGCCACGCAUCGUAAACCUCUUUUGUCAAGGGACAAAAUCAGGCACUAGUGCCUGGCUGAGGGUACCUGAAGAAAAAGCAUCGGCUAACUCCGUGCCAGCAGCCGCGGUAAUACGGAGGAUGCGAGCGUUAUCCGGAUUUAUUGGGUUUAAAGGGUGCGUAGGCGGACUGUUAAGUCAGCGGUAAAAGCCCGGGGCUCAACCCCGGCGAGCCGUUGAAACUGGCGGGCUGGAGAUGGAGAGAGGUAUGCGGAAUGCGCGGUGUAGCGGUGAAAUGCUUAGAUAUCGCGCAGAACCCCGAUUGCGAAGGCAGCGUACCGGCGGCGAUCUGACGCUGAGGCACGAAAGCGUGGGUAUCGAACAGGAUUAGAUACCCGUGUAGUC